UAAGGAAUAUUGGUCAAUGGGCGCAAGCCUGAACCAGCCAUGCCGCGUGCAGGAAGACGGCCCUAUGGGUUGUAAACUGCUUUUGUCAGGGAAUAAACCCCCGCUCGUGAGCGGGGCUGAAGGUACCUGAAGAAUAAGCAUCGGCUAACUCCGUGCCAGCAGCCGCGGUAAUACUGAGGAUGCAAGCGUUAUCCGGAUUCAUUGGGUUUAAAGGGUGCGCAGGCGGAUUGGUAAGUCAGGGGUGAAAUCCCACAGCUCAACUGUGGAACUGCCUUUGAUACUGUCAGUCUAGAGUGUGGUUGAAGUGGGCGGAAUGUGUCAUGUAGCGGUGAAAUGCUUAGAUAUGACGCAGAACACUGAUCGCGAAGGCAGCUCGCUAAGCUAUAACUGACGCUCAUGCACGAAAGCGUGGGGAUCAAACAG
rnacentral:rRNA from 1 species